GUACAAAAUGUGACAUAAUAGCUAAACUCUCAUAUAAGAUUCUGUCAUUGUGUAGCAAUAAGAUCGAAUGACAGUACAUUAGUUUCAGUUAUGUAAAGAAUUGACAAGUUUUUCUCAUUUUAAUUAAAUAUAUUAGCUACUAUUUUGGAUAUGUUGCUUAUUUUUAUGCCCCCCUUCGAAGAAGAGGGGGUAUAUUGCUUUGCACAUGUCGGUCUGUCGGUCGGUCUGUCCACCAGGGGGUUUCCGGAUGAUAACUCAAGAACGCUUAUGCCUAGGAUCAUGAAACUUCGUAGGUAGAUUGAUAAUGGCUGGCAGAUGACCCCUAUUGAUUUUGAAGUCACUAGGUCAAAGGUCAAGGUCACGGUGACCCGAAAUAGUAAAAUGGUUUCCGGAUGAUAACUCAAGAACGCUUAUGCCUAGGAUCAUGAAAUUUGAUAGGUAGAUUGAUCAUGGCUCGCAGUUGACCCCUAUUGAUUUUCAGGUCACUAUAUCAAAGGUCAAGGUCACGGUGACCUGAAAUAGUAAAAUGGUUUCCGGAUGAUAUCUCAAGAAAGCUAAUGGCUACGAUCAUGAAACUUCAUAGGUACAUUGAUCAUGACUUGUAGAUGACCCUUAUUGAUUUUGAGGUCACUAGGUCAAAGGUCAAGGUCAUGGUGACCCGAAAUAGUAAAAUGGUUUCCAGAUGAUAACUCAAGAACGCUUAUGCCUAGGAUCAUGAAACUUCAUAGGUACAUUGAUCAUGACUCGCAGAUGACCCCUAUCGAUUUUGAGGUCACUAGGUCAAAGGUCAAGUUCAAGGUGACCCGAAAUAGUAAAAUGGUUUCUGUAUGAUAACUGAAGAACGCUAAUUCCUAGGAUCAUGAAACUUGAUAGGUAGAUCGAUCAUGACUAGCAGAUGACCCCUAUUGAUUUUCAGGUGUCUAGGUCAAAGGUCAAGGUCACAGUGACAAAAAACAUAUUCACACAAUGGCUGUCACUACAACGGAGAGCCCUUAUGGGGGGCAUGCAUGUUUUACAAACAGCCCUUGUUUACAUGUUAAAAUGCAUAUAUAGUGUAAUAAACAAAAUAUAAUAACUGGUUGUGCAUAUUUUUGUGUUAUGUGAUGCUAAUGUAUUCAUCAAGAAAUGUUGAAAUGCAGUAAUGUUAUCAACGUUUAUUGACAUUCAAUUUACACUGAGUUCAACAAGUUCAUUUUUCUGGACAAUAUUUAGUGAUCAAAUUAAAUGGCUAAUUCAUAUCAUUAUUAAAUAAUGCAGAGGUUUCUACAACUGUAGUUACAUUUGUAUUAUUUCAUUAAAUAAAAAAUGUUCAUUGGACAAUUUAUGCAGACCAUGUUCUUUAUUUGGUGACAAACAGAAUAGGUUGUAAGAAAGUGGUGAAACAAAAUCGAUGUACCACAUAUUAUUUUUAUUUGUGUUUUAUUUUGAAAUUGAAGCGUAUAACUGGUACAUUUAUAGUGACCAAUCAUGUUAAUGAAUUGAAUCCUUUAUCAUAUUUAGUAAUACAACAUAUUUCGUCAUUCAGUUAUAGAAAAACUGUCAUUUUCAUCAAAACGUUGUACAUUUUAGGUUGGAUUACAUCUGCACCUGCACUGUGAAUAUGUUUCGUACUUGAUAUAAUUUAUAUUUCACAUGUUACUAGGUAACACAUCUAUUUGGAAAUGGUAGAAUACCAGGUAACUAAGCUGUUGUUUCAAGUGUCAGGAGUAAGGUAUAUGUUCGAAAUGGUCGUGGUUUGAUACUUCUGACAACUGUUAACAUUCUCUUUAUUAUAUUGUAUCAAAUAAAGUCAAGAAAUAUAGCGAUUACAGAUAAACAUAAAACACGAUUAUAAUUGAUAUAUGAGAAUGUUGGUUUGCCAUACAAGUUGAUUUUGUCUCAGAAUGUAACAUCGUUAUAGAAGGAAUAUAUGUAUACAUUGUAAAUGAUUUAAGUUAUAUAAGAUAUUAUAUAUAGUUUUCAAGAUAUACAUUACAUGAAUAUAUAGUAUUAAAUAUAACAUGUUUUAAUUAAUUAUAAAAACAUUCAACAUGAAAGGCAGUAUAUAUCAAUAAAAAACUAUAUUUAAAAUCCGAAUUCAGUUAAAUGUGCAAAUUUUUCAUAUUUAGAUUUUUUUAUGACCAUUUUGGAUUCAUAAAAUAUUUAGCAUAUUCAUCUUCAAGCUUUUAACCAUUUCAGAAAAGUCUUAUUAUACCACUGAGAAUUGUUCUUUGAGAGACGGAAAUUGUGUGUACAUAUGUCAUCAUUGAUCACACAGAAUAUUGGAUGUAGAAAUAUUAUGUGAUAAUAAAUACUUUAACAUUA